ensembl:rRNA 5S_rRNA 5S ribosomal RNA
UAUUGUAGGUAGCCUCAGCACACCCGAUCUCCUCUGUUCUCAGACGCUAAGCAGGCUUGGGCUUGGUUAGUACUUGGAUGGGAGAAUUCCUGGGAAUACCAGGUGUUGUAAGCU